CAGCAUAUUGGCAGUAGACGCACUACAUGUCGUCGGGGCCGCGUCGCCACGCGGCCACGGAACCUAAAUCUCUCUCUUCUCGUCAGCAGUCCGCUCGUCGUCACCUUCCUUGUGGGUUUCAGCCUUUCAGGUAUCAGAUCCAGGCCGAUUAGAGGGGUUUUGUCCAGAGGAAGAUCGGCACGAGCUGCACAAGCCGCCCCCAAGUUGAUUUUCAGAUUACUUCCUGCGGCGGUCGGCAUUCGAUUCAUCGAGCAGGUAAAAGGGGAAUGGGCAGAUUGCCUGUCAGUAGAAAACGCGAGCAGGGGAAAUGCCGGAGCCGCCACGAACGGGGCGACAAUGCUUUGAGGCACCGCGCGUCACCGGGGAGGCUGAUGAAGCUGUACGCGCACCUGACCGCCGGGCAGCGGGAGAUGAUAGAGGGCGCCGGCUUCGGGGCGCUCCUGAGGAUCCAGUGCCCCACGCUGCCCUCCAGGAUCUGCACCUGGCUCAUCCGCCGGUUCGACCUCGAGUCCUGCGAGCUGGUCAUCCCCAACCGGGGCCGGAUCCCGGUCACCGUCGACAGCGUGCACCGGGUGCUCGGCAUCCCCUGCAGCGGCCGCGACGUUGUGUUCAGGAUGGACGAGAAGAGCAUCGCGUUUGUGCUGCACAAGCACGGUGUCACGAAACCGCCCACCGUGGCGAGCUUGGAGAAGUCCAUCAAGCUGAUGAAGUCCGCCGACGAGCAUUUUCUCCGGACGUUCAUGAUGCUCCUGCUCUCCACGUUCCUCUGCCCCAACAGCAGCCUCAAGGUCAGCCCCCGGUACUUCCCGGCGCUGGUGGACGUCGGGUCCAUCAAGGAGCUGAAUUGGUGCAAAUUCGUGGUGCAGCAGCUUGAGAAUUGUAUUUCUUCUCCUUAUGACAAGAAGAACGUAGGAGGCUGCCUUUUCUAUCUUCUGAUUCUAUACCUAGACUCCCUUGAUAUUCAAAGCUUGAGAAUACCUGACGGAACACCGCGAGUAUGUGCAUGGGACCAGAAGCUUCUGAAUAAAGUCAUAAUGAUGGACAGGAAGAACAGGACCUGUUUCGGAAAAUGCUUUUUCAAGAUGGAAGAAGCCACACGGAUAAUCAAAUCCAGGGGUACGUCUGUCCUGCUUGGAGAUGUCUCGGCAAUAGCUAAUUUUGUAUCAGCAAAUGUCCGACCAGAGUACACUCAACAGAACAAGGAGGUCUUAUGCAAAGCCACAGGUAACCUUUGUGCAAGUAUCACAGACGCCCUCGCCAAGUUCAUGCGUGAAGUCUCUGGACUUGAAGGCUGCAGCACAGAAGCCGGCAAGGGUAGCACUGAAGUUACAGUGAGAGAAGAUAACAAUGCAAAGAAUGAUGGUGACCAGAUGGAUAUUGACACACUCCCUGAUGAUAGUUCAGAGCUGGAAAGUAAGGACAUGGAAGACACAUCAGUCGACGAAUAUGAAGAUGGAAGUUCCGAGGAGGGUGAGGCAGAUGAUUUAAGCAGCGCGGAUUCUGAAGAGGGUGAGGCAGAUGAUUCAAGCAGCGCGGAUUCUGAAGAGGGUGAGGCAGAUGAUUCAAGCAGCACGGAUUCUGAAGAGGGUGAGGCAGAUGGUUCAAGGAGCACGGAUUCUGAAGAUGACCCUGACUGGGAAGAUUUUUCUAGAAGUAUCACACGAUUUCAUUCUCAACAAAGCAGAGUGACACGGAACAGCGACAGUAGCAAAGAGCCUGGAGACGGAGAUGUAACAGCCAACGGUUCAGGAAAUGUGACAACUAAUGGUUCAGGAAAUGAUUCGGAUAUUCCAGAGGGAAAUUUAGGCAGAGUGAACCGAUGCAGCGAAGAACAAGGAAGUGUCGCAAAAAAAAUAUCACCAAGUGUUCAUAAGAAUGUGGCAUUGACAUCUUCGGCUAUGUCACAAGGAAGUGGCAAAGCUGGAGAUGUAACGACCAAUGGUGCAGAAAAUGAUUUGGGUAUUCAAGAGGGAGAUCAAGGCAGAGUGAAACGGUGCAGCAACGAACGUGCAGGUGUUCAUGAGGAUGCAGUGGUACCAUCUUCGGCUGUCUCACAGUUAAAGAGCAGAAAACUGAGCACUAAAAAGAGAAAUUUCCUUGAGGAUACCACUGUUAUUCAGCCUACCAGCCUGCUGUACGGUGAGUCUUCUAUGCUGGCGUUGCAUGAUGAUGGGAACUCCUCAAAGGAAGGCAAGACCAUGGAGAAGGCUCCCUUUGUCGACUCUUUGGAAGGAACUCCUUUUAUUGAUUUGAGUACUCCGACAAAUUCAGACAGCGAGUGCAACGGCUCUAAGAGGUCCUCAUGACUAACAACUCAGUGGAUGAGAUGAAGCAUUUACAUUGGCAUAUUUGAUGUUCCGGAUGAUCGUUCUUGUAUUAUGAGGAUGAUGCAUUAUAUCAUAUACAUUCUUUACCUUCAUAGUUAAAGCUGGAAGAAACCUGCAAUAAGGAGCACCCAAUGUACUGCAAAAGACGUGUUGCCAGUUGGACAAAUGAUGAGAAUUCAUGGGAAGCUGCCAAGCUGGCACUGUAGACUAUGUAUAAUCUUCAUAAUUUUAGCAUGGAGUUGAGCUGGCAUUGUAACCUAUGUAUGCCAUGUAGUCCCUCUACCCUCUUAACCUACUAGUAGUAGAUUCUAGCUAGUGUACGCAUGUAAUGUACUCCUCCAGUUUUCUGAACUGUGACGGUAUAUAUGAGCUCCAGGCAUGCAUGUUCGUUC